GACGUAGGUGGCGAACGUUAUCCGGAAUUAUUGGGCGUAAAGGAUGCGUAGAUGGUGUAGUAAGUUAUCGGUGGCAAAUCGAGGCUCAACCUCGUGGAAGUCGGUAAUACUGCUAUGCUAGAGGAUAGGAGAGGUUAACGGAACUCCCUGUGGAGCGGUGAAAUGCGUAGAUAUUAGGAAGAACACCGGUGGCGAAGGCGGCCCACUGGUCCGGUACUGACGCUGAGGUGCGAAAGCGUGGGGAGCAAACAGG
rnacentral:rRNA from 1 species